rfam:TPA: Bos taurus chromosome 3, whole genome shotgun sequence.
UCCCUGGUGGCUCAGAUGGUAAAGCGUCUGCCUGCAGUGCAGGAGACCCGGGUUUGAUCCCUGGGUUGGGAA